AUGCAUGUAUGUAUGUAUGUAUGCAUGCAUGCAUGCAUGUAUGUAUGUAUGUAUGUAUGGGUUU
ensembl:miRNA Gm25002 predicted gene, 25002